CUUGCUUCUCUUGAGAGCGGCGGACGGGUGAGUAAUGCCUAGGAAUCUGCCUGGUAGUGGGGGAUAACGUUCGGAAACGGACGCUAAUACCGCAUACGUCCUACGGGAGAAAGCAGGGGACCUUCGGGCCUUGCGCUAUCAGAUGAGCCUAGGUCGGAUUAGCUAGUUGGUGGGGUAAUGGCUCACCAAGGCGACGAUCCGUAACUGGUCUGAGAGGAUGAUCAGUCACACUGGAACUGAGACACGGUCCAGACUCCUACGGGAGGCAGCAGUGGGGAAUAUUGGACAAUGGGCGAAAGCCUGAUCCAGCCAUGCCGCGUGUGUGAAGAAGGUCUUCGGAUUGUAAAGCACUUUAAGUUGGGAGGAAGGGUUGUAGAUUAAUACUCUGCAAUUUUGACGUUACCGACGGAAUAAGCACCGGCUAACUCUGUGCCAGCAGCCGCGGUAAUACAGAGGGUGCAAGCGUUAAUCGGAAUUACUGGGCGUAAAGCGCGCGUAGGUGGUUUGUUAAGUUGGAUGUGAAAUCCCCGGGCUCAACCUGGGAACUGCAUUCAAAACUGACUGACUAGAGUAUGGUAGAGGGUGGUGGAAUUUCCUGUGUAGCGGUGAAAUGCGUAGAUAUAGGAAGGAACACCAGUGGCGAAGGCGACCACCUGGACUAAUACUGACACUGA
rnacentral:rRNA from 1 species